rnacentral:tmRNA from 1 species
GGGGGUGUAAUGGUUUCGACAUUAUACUAGAAGUGCAAAUAGCGAGUAGUGGAUGGUUGCUUUGGCCACUAUAAAAAAGCAAAAAUAAAUAUAAACGCAAAUAGCGAAAAUUACGAAUUAGCUGCUGCCUAAGGGCGCGCUACGUUUUUAUAGAUAUCCCCACAUAUCUAUAAAAAUGUCAUUUUAGUGGGAAACGAAUUUACUUUUUCUUCGAAAGUAAAGGGUAUUUAGAAGAUAUAUCUAUUUAAAGAAUGUUUAUUUUCGUUAAAUAGAUGAAUUUAAAGAAUAAACUGCACUCGGAGAAGUUUUCAUGGAAGGUAUAGUGGACAGGAGUUCAAUUCUCCUCACCUCCACCA